rnacentral:rRNA from 1 species
GGUUAAGCGACUAAGCGUACACGGUGGAUGCCCUGGCAGUCAGAGGCGAUGAAGGGCGUGCUAAUCUGCGAUAAGCGCCGGUAAGGUGAUAUGAACCGUUAUAACCGGCGAUACCCGAAUGGGGAAACCCAGUGUGAUUCGUCACACUAUCAUUAACUGAAUCCAUAGGUUAAUGAGGCGAACCGGGGGAACUGAAACAUCUAAGUACCCCGAGGAAAAGAAAUCAACCGAGAUUCCCCCAGUAGCGGCGAGCGAACGGGGAGGAGCCCAGAGCCUGAAUCAGCAUGUGUGUUAGUGGAAGCGUCUGGAAAGGCGCGCGAUACAGGGUGACAGCCCCGUACACAAAAGCGCAUGUGCUGUGAGCUCGAUGAGUAGGGCGGGACACGUGGUAUCCUGUCUGAAUAUGGGGGGACCAUCCUCCAAGGCUAAAUACUCCUGACUGACCGAUAGUGAACCAGUACCGUGAGGGAAAGGCGAAAAGAACCCCGGCGAGGGGAGUGAAAAAGAACCUGAAACCGUGUACGUACAAGCAGUGGGAGCACCCUUUGGGUGUGACUGCGUACCUUUUGUAUAAUGGGUCAGCGACUUAUAUUCUGUAGCAAGGUUAACCGAAUAGGGGAGCCGGAGGGAAACCGAGUCUUAAC